CACGUAGGGUGCGAGCGUUGUCCGGAAUUGAUUGGGCGUAAAGAGCUCGUAGGCGGUGUGAUCGCGUCGGCCCGUCGAAACCUGACAGCUUAACUGUGGCUUGCGGUCGAUACGGGCAUCACUGGAGGUUCGGCAGGGGAGGACUGGAAUUCCGUGGUGAUAGCGGUGAAAUGCGCAGAUAUCAGGAGGAACACCGGUGGCGAAGCGGGUCUCUGGGCCGAUAACUGACGCUGGAGGAGCGAAAGCGUGGGGAGCGAACAGG
rnacentral:rRNA from 1 species